CAGCCGCCGCGGGAAUACGAAGGGGGCUAGCGUUGUUCGGAUUUACUGGGCGUAAAGCGCACGUAGGCGGACAUUUAGGUCAGGGGUGAAAUCCCAGAGCUCAACUCUGGAACUGCCUUUGAUACUGGGUGUCUGGAGUAUGGAAGAGGUAAGUGGAAUUCCGAGUGUAGAGGUGAAAUUCGUAGAUAUUCGGAGGAACACCAGUGGCGAAGGCGGCUUACUGGUCCAUUUCUGACGCUGAGGUGCGAAAGCGUGGGGAGCAAACAGGAUUAGAUACCCCUGUAGUCCCUGUCUCUUAUAC
rnacentral:rRNA from 1 species